rnacentral:rRNA from 1 species
UGAGGAAUAUUGGUCAAUGGGCUGAGGCCUGAACCAGCCAAGUCGCGUGAGGGAAGACGGUCCUAUGGAUUGUAAACCUCUUUUGCCGGGGAGCAACGACGCCACGCGUGGCGGAAGGGAGAGUACCCGGAGAAAAAGCAUCGGCUAACUCCGUGCCAGCAGCCGCGGUAAUACGGAGGAUGCGAGCGUUAUCCGGAUUUAUUGGGUUUAAAGGGUGCGUAGGCGGACUGUUAAGUCAGCGGUAAAAUUGAGAGGCUCAACCUCUUCGAGCCGUUGAAACUGGCGGUCUUGAGUGGGCGAGAAGUAUGCGGAAUGCGAGGUGUAGCGGUGAAAUGCAUAGAUAUCACGCAGAACUCCGAUUGCGAAGGCAGCAUACCGGCGCCCAACUGACGCUGAGGCACGAAAGCGUGGGGAUCGAACAGG